rnacentral:snRNA from 1 species
CUGCUUGCUUUGGCAGCACAUAUACUAGAAACAAUACAGAGAAGAUUAGCAUGGCCCUUGCACAAGGAUGACAGGCAAAAAAUAAAAAUGAAUAAAUGGGUU